rnacentral:rRNA from 1 species
GGCAGCAGUAGGGAAUCUUCGGCAAUGGACGGAAGUCUGACCGAGCAACGCCGCGUGAGUGAAGAAGGUUUUCGGAUCGUAAAGCUCUGUUGUAAGAGAAGAACGAGUGUGAGAGUGGAAAGUUCACACUGUGACGGUAUCUUACCAGAAAGGGACGGCUAACUACGUGCCAGCAGCCGCGGUAAUACGUAGGUCCCGAGCGUUGUCCGGAUUUAUUGGGCGUAAAGCGAGCGCAGGCGGUUAGAUAAGUCUGAAGUUAAAGGCUGUGGCUUAACCAUAGUACGCUUUGGAAACUGUUUAACUUGAGUGCAAGAGGGGAGAGUGGAAUUCCAUGUGUAGCGGUGAAAUGCGUAGAUAUAUGGAGGAACACCGGUGGCGAAAGCGGCUCUCUGGCUUGUAACUGACGCUGAGGCUCGAAAGCGUGGGGAGCAAACAGGAUUAGAUACCCUGGUAGUCCACGCCGUAAACGAUGAGUGCUAGGUGUUAGACCCUUUCCGGGGUUUAGUGCCGCAGCUAACGCAUUAAGCACUCCGCCUGGGGAGUACGACCGCAAGGUGAAACUCAAAGGAAUUGACGGC